ACUAAAAGAACAAAACCUGAAGCAUUACCCUUAGCAUCAACACCUUAUGAUUUUCCAAGAUUACAAGGAUUUUUUGGAACAAUUUAUAAAUUUGAAAUGGAUUUUGAAUAUCCAAUUACUCCAUCUCAAAUUGUUAAUGAAUUAUCAACACAAUUAGGUUUAGAUAGAGCUUAUAUUGUUGUUAGAAAUAUUGAUGCUCCUGUUGAACAGUAUGAAUCAACAUAUUUAGAAUAUAAAGAUGAAGAUUAUAUUUCACAAUUAGUACAAGAUGAAAUUGAUAAUAAAAUCAAUCCUAAUGAUUAUUAUGGUGAUGAAUAUAAUAAAGAUUUAGUUAAAGCGUUACAAUCAAAAGAAGCCAAAAAACAUCAACAAGGUUUUACUGAAUUAGAUAAAAAGAAAUACUAAGGUGCGCGAGACAACUCUCGCUAAGGAACUCGGCAAAAUCACCUCGUAACUUCGGGAGAAGAGGUACCCUGGUAGCGUGAUUUACCCUCGCGGUAAUGAGCGUGAUAGGGUCGCAGUGAAUAGGCCCAAGCGACUGUUUACCAAAAACACAGGUCUCUGCUAAGUCGAUCAAGACGAUGUAUAGGGGCUGACGCCUGCCCGGUGUCGGAAGGUUACGCGGAAAUGUUAGAAGCAAUUCAAAGCAUCGAAGCUAAGCCCCGAUGAACGGCGGCCGUAACUAUAACGGUCCUAAGGUAGCGAAAUUCCUUGUCAGGUAAGUUCUGACCCGCACGAAAGGCGUAACGAUUUGGGCGCUGUCUCAGCUGUAGACUCGGUGAAGUCUUAGUACCUGUGAAGAUGCAGGUUACCCGCGACUAGACGGAAAGACCCCAUGGAGCUUCACUGCAGGUUGAUAUUGGGAUUUGAUGCAGCAUGUACAGGAUAGGUAGGAGGCAAAGAGAUGGAUACGCCAGUAUUCAAGGAGCCGCUGUUGGGAUACUACCCCUGUUGUAUUGGAUUUCUAACCGGACGACGUAGAGCCGUUGACGGGACAGUGUCAGUCGGGCAGUUUGACUGGGGCGGUCGCCUCCCAAAAUGUAACGGAGGCAUGCAAAGGUUCCCUCAGGCUGAUUGGAAACCAGCCGUCGAGUGCAAACGCAGAAGGGAGCUUGACUGCAAGAGAGACAUCUCGAGCAGGUACGAAAGUAGGUGUUAGUGAUCCGGUGAUCCCGAAUGGAAGGGUCAUCGCUCAUUGGAUAAAAGGUACGCCGGGGAUAACAGGCUGAUCGCAUCCAAGAGUUCACAUCGACGAUGCGGUUUGGCACCUCGAUGUCGGCUCAUCACAUCCUGGGGCUGAAGCAGGUCCCAAGGGUACGGCUGUUCGCCGUUUAAAGUGGUACGCGAGCUGGGUUUAAAACGUCGUGAGACAGUUUGGUCCCUAUCUUCUGUGGGCGUAGGAGAAUUGAAAGGGCCUGUCCCUAGUACGAGAGGACCGGGAUGGACACACCACUGGUGGACCUGUUGUCGUGCCAACGGCACAGCAGGGUAGCUAUGUGUGGAAGGGAUAACCGCUGAAAGCAUCUAAGCGGGAAGCCUGCCUUAAGAUAAGUUCUCCCUGACGCAAGUCCUGAAGGGCCGAGGUAGACGACCUCGUCGAUAGGCUGGAGGUGGAAGCCCUGUGAGGGGUGGAGCUGACCAGUACUAAUAGCCCGUGCGUCUUGUUU
rnacentral:rRNA from 1 species